UCCCCCCGCCCCCAGCAGCUGCCUGCGCUACCAGGCGAAGCGGUGCCGAGUUCUCACCGCCAUUUGCAAACAAAAGUUUUAAAUUAAUGAUAAACCUGGGAUCGGCGGAAGGGCGGCGGAGAGGAGGCCAACGAGGGAAAGUUAAAAUGGCUGGCGAUCCUUCAAAUAACCCUGGCCAUUUCGCCCACGUACGCGACAGAGUCCCAGUCUUCCCUGCCAGCGCUGGGGAACCACCCCCACCUAUUUUAGGGGGAACCCCGCGGCAAAAGGGGCGGGGAAGGGAGCACGCGGCUCACUUUGGAGAGUUCACAGAGGUGCCGCCGUCUGCAGGUUAUUAGAUCUGGAGCACAGUGAAGCACAUGCUUGAGCCCCCCACUGAAAUACACCGAGGAGGUGGGGGGGGGGAAGGAGGACAUUUUAUUUGCUGAAGCAGAGACACGGCUGGCACCCAAGUUGGGGUUGUUUAGGGUGAAGAAGAGGGGCCUUGACACAGGGGAGCUGACCCUCCACGGGCCACCCUGUGAGAGUGUUAUAAGGGUCACCGCUGAAACGUGCACUUGGCAAGCGACCGUCCGCGCCAUUUUAGAGACACACAGAGGAGCGAGGGUUUCCGCUGCUGCUGCCAGAGACAACAGGCAGCAGCCGAGCCUGAGCUGCGCCGGAGGAGCAGCAGAAGAGAGAUAGAUACAGCCGGCCUGGCACCAAUGUGCAUUUCAGAACUCAGCACGGAAACAAAGCACUGAAGCAACUGCUAUGCAGAUGGGCGGCUAUGAAUUUUUGCUGCUGCUUAGAGCUUUAAUUACUCGCUCUUGAUCCGGGGGACUACGACACUACACCGCCAAGGUUAAAAUGCCCUGAACAGCUCUGAGCAGAUGUGAGCGAGUUGGCAGACGCGCAAAUGAGGUCUGCCUCUAAGCACGAUAACAAGUGACUAAUACAUUGCAUAUCUCUGAAAGAAAAUUAUUUUUCUCUAAUUUGCAUUAGCUUUUUUUAAAGCCAGCGACAGUCCCUCCGCAGAGGCAGCACUAUAAUCCUGGAAAUACUGCUCCCUGACUUUAAAAGAUUUGGAAGAAGGAAGAGAGUGCCAGUAUUUUGGCGAUGUAGACUUGUUUAUCUUUCCGCCUUAGCUUCAAGGCGAAACUAGUUUCGCAAGCAACGUUCCUACAGAAAUGGCAUACGUCAUAUAAAAGAUUAAUUUAUAGCAUUGACGCUAAGAUUAUUGAAUUACUAUUGGAGUAACUUCCGCCGUCAACAGCACA